GUUCGUGCGAGGGCAGAGCCUGGUUGCGGCGCUGGGGGUUUGCUGCUAGGGUUUUCGCAAUCUCUUUGUGUUGGGCUUGUAACACGAUUGGGCUAGGGAUUGGGCCAUUCGGGUUUAGUAUUGGGUCAGAUUAGGUUUGGGCUUAAUUGGGUUUGGGUUAUAAUUUUGGGCUAGCUGAAAUUUGUAAAUGGACUGCUAUUUCAUUGGACUCUUUUUUAAUUUGGUUUAUUUUAUUGUGUGG
rnacentral:lncRNA from 1 species